CUCCAGCAGACCCUCCCUCCCAAACCCUCCUACUUCCUGGACAGCAUCCAUGUUGAAACAUGGACCCUCCCUCCAAGACCCUCCUACUUCCUGAAACAUGGAUGCUGUCCAGGAAGUAGGAGGGUCUGGGAGGGAGGGUCUGCUGGAG